UCUUCGGAUGUGUAUAAAGUGGCGAACGGCUGAGUAACACGUGGGCAACCUGCCCUUUGCACUGGGAUAGCCUCGGGAAACCGAGGUUAAUACCGGAUACUCCAUAUUUGUCGCAUGGCGAAUAUGGGAAAGCUCCGGCGGCAAAGGAUGGGCCCGCGGCCUGUUAGCUAGUUGGUGGGGUAGUGGCCUACCAAGGCAAUGAUGGGUAGCCGGGUUGAGAGACCGACCGGCCAGAUUGGGACUGAGACACGGCCCAGACUCCUACGGGAGGCAGCAGUGGGGAAUCUUGCACAAUGGGCGAAAGCCUGAUGCAGCGACGCCGCGUGCGGGAUGAAGACCUUCGGGUUGUAAACCGCUUUCAGCAGGGACGAGGCCGCAAGGUGACGGUACCUGCAGAAGAAGCCCCGGCUAACUACGUGCCAGCAGCCGCGGUAAUACGUAGGGGGCAAGCGUUAUCCGGAUUCAUUGGGCGUAAAGCGCGCGUAGGCGGUCUGUUAGGUCAGGAGUUAAAUCUGGGGGCUCAACCCCUAUCCGCUCCUGAUACCGGCAGGCUUGAGUCUGGUAGGGGAAGAUGGAAUUCCAAGUGUAGCGGUGAAAUGCGCAGAUAUUUGGAAGAACACCGGUGGCGAAGGCGGUCUUCUGGGCCAUGACUGACGCUGAGGCGCGAAANNNAGGGGAGCG
rnacentral:rRNA from 1 species